ensembl:lncRNA
GAAGAGUGGUGCCUGUCAUAUACCAGAAGUUUAAAGGAUCAUCAAGAGCUCUGCAGUAUGAGAGGACAGGUCUUUCAGCAGCUUUUCUAUCCUCUUGAAAGUAUAGAAUCAUAAGAAAUGAGAACAAAUAUGUCACCAUCAUAGAAAAAUAUUUUGAUUGUCCAGUCAUCUCCUGUCAACUGCCUAUUCACCUCAUUAUAGUCAACACUGCUAGAAGGUGCUCAUCAAUCAUGUCUCCUGUCCUGCACAGAUCACAGUGCAGAUCUAGGCAGCUGCUGCAAGAUAACUACUCUCUGAGUGGACAGGAACUCAACAGGCUGAAAGAGUCAAACAUCUUAACUUAGAAUAGUCCAAAGAGCCCAGAAAUUGCUUUGAAAAAAUCAAAAGAAUGGAG